GUCAAGUUCCAAAAUGGUUCAUGUAGCUAUAUGCAUGAGGUUAAAGAUGAUGUCAAAUACUGACUCAUGCCCAGAGAAGAUGAUCUUAAUGAUAGUGAUUUGGAUUGGACAAGACAAUUGUUAGUAUUGGGAAAAGCUGAGCUUAUUAAUAUCUCCCUUCAGGUUUUAAGAAAGAACAGAACUUUGUGCCCUGGCCUGUCCCACCUGCUCCUUCCAACAGUAACCAGAGGGUGGGAAGACAGGUCAGUAAGGACUGAGUCUGAUGGCAAGGGAAUCCUUCCUGCUCUGGGGUGUUUGUCCUUGUUUGUGGGUGUUGCUCCGGUGGGUUUCCUUUGCCAGGGAGCAGGCUGGGGAAGAUGGGAGAUUUGGUUUCUAUGGAUACUGGCUGGCUGGGAUUUGCAUAAUGUAGUGCAGAGAACAGACAGUCUGGGAACACUGUAGACCAGAGAGGAACACAGAGGCACGUGGAAAUGAGUUAGAGGGCCAGGGUAGCCAUGCUCCAUUCAGCCCUCUUCUAGGGAAGGGAGUCUGUCCCUCCCUGCUCCCUGAACAGCAGCAGCAUGGAGCCUGAGGAAGGAGGGAGGCAUGUGAACAGCGCCCCCCACAGGGCAUGGCAUACACUGGGCUCAACCAAUCCAGGGCUCUUCUGCUUCCUCCCCUGAACUCCACUACUGGCAAAGGCUGCUCUUCCAUGACCACCUGCUGUGUGGACCUGCAGUUUACUCAGAAGGCAUUCCAAGUAUGUUCUAUUUUAAUCCUUGCUUCCAGCCAACCACCAUGUGAGACAGGUGCAGGAAGCUUAUCAAAG
rnacentral:lncRNA from 1 species